AGCUAGUUGGUGGGGUAAAAGCUCACCAAGGCGACGAUCUGUAGCGGGUCUGAGAGGAUGAUCCGCCACACUGGAACUGAGACACGGUCCAGACUCCUACGAGAGGCAGCAGUGGGGAAUUUUGGACAAUGGGGGCAACCCUGAUCCAGCCAUGCCGCGUGAGUGAAGAAGGCCUUCGGGUUGUAAAGCUCUUUCAGCCGGGAAGAAAACGCAUUGGUUAAUACCUGAUGUGGAUGACGGUACCGGAAUAAGAAGCACCGGCUAACUACGUGCCAGCAGCCGCGGUAAUACGUAGGGUGCGAGCGUUAAUCGGAAUUACUGGGCGUAAAGCGUGCGCAGGCGGUUUUGUAAGAUAGGCGUGAAAUCCCCGGGCUUAACCUGGGAACUGCGUUUAUGACUGCAAAGCUAGAGUACGGCAGAGGGGGGUGGAAUUCCACGUGUAGCAGUGAAAUGCGUAGAGAUGUGGAGGAACACCAAUGGCGAAGGCAGCCCCCUGGGUCGAUACUGACGCUCAUGCACGAAAGCGUGGGUAGCAAACAGGAUUAGAUACCCUGGUAGUCCACGCCCUAAACGAUGUCAACUAGGUGUUGGGAGGGUAAAACCUUUUAGUACCGGAGCUAACGCGUGAAGUUGACCGCCUGGGGAGUACGGCCGCAAGGUUAAAACUCAAAGGAAUUGACGGGGACCCGCACAAGCGGUGGAUGAUGUGGAUUAAUUCGAUGCAACGCGAAAAACCUUACCUACCCUUGACAUGUCAGGAACUUGCCAGAGAUGGCCUGGUGCUCGAAAGAGAACCUGAACACAGGUGCUGCAUGGCUGUCGUCAGCUCGUGUCGUGAGAUGUUGGGUUAAGUCCCGCAACGAGCGCAACCCUUGUCGUUAAUUGCCAUCAUUUAGUUGGGCACUUUAACGAGACUGCCGGUGACAAACCGGAGGAAGGUGGGGAUGACGUCAAGUCCUCAUGGCCCUUAUGGGUAGGGCUUCACACGUCAGACAAUGGUCGGUACAAAGGGUCGCCAACCCGCGAGGGGGAGCCAAUCCCAGAAAGCCGAUCGUAGUCCGGAUUGCAGGCUGCAACUCGCCUGCAUGAAGUCGGAAUCGCUAGUAAUCGUGGAUCAGCAUGUCACGGUGAAUACGUUCCCGGGUCUUGUACACACCGCCCGUCACACCAUGGGAGCGGGUUCCGCCAGAAGUAGGUAGCCUAACCGCAAGGAGGGCGCUUACCACGGCGGGGUUCGUGACUGGGGUGAAGUCGUAACAAGGUAGCCGUAGGGGAACCUGCGGCUG
rnacentral:rRNA from 1 species